ACUGAGAGUCAAGACAAUAAUGUGAUGCGGAUGUGACAUCUGAAUGGGCCGAUCAAAGAUUACGAAAAUGUUCAAUUUCUGUAAUCUUUACAUAUUUUUAUUCCUGUUUGUGACUCAUGAGGGGGUGUUGUCUUGACUCUGUAGUGGUUCCUACGGAGGUGGGAGCUUUCGCUUCUGGUAUUGGUAUUAUUCUGGUAUUAUUGGUUCAUAUUGGUUCAUUCCAUUGUCAAAUUGAUGUAGCACAGCUAAAGCUCUUCUGAAAUUUUUGGGAGGUUUAAUGGUGUAACCAAUGGAAAAAUUUGCUGUUGAUUUAGAAAAAGUCUUGGACGAUUUUGAGAUUGACGAAGAGAAAGAAGAGUUAUUAACUCUGCACACUGUCAAUCGUGCUGCCUCUUUUCCUCAGCCUCGCCAGAAUGUAUCUGUUCGGCCACCAGCUGCAAGUUACAGGCGACCCUCCUUUGAGCCUAUCAAUCUAGCCGAAGCAGAUUUUGCAGCCUCGCCACAGUCAACAACAGUGCACAACUACAAUGAAGAAUACUACAAUUCCACACUGUACUGUCAAAAAGAUAACUUAUGCAAUGGCAACAGUGUUUACAGCAAGUUAAUCUCCAAAUCCAAUCAGUCUGACGAUUCGCUAUACUCCAGGCUGAUCCCCGAGCAGAAUACCUCACUCCAUGAGAAAAGUGUGAUUAACUCUGGUGAAUCCAAUUGGAAUAUCAAUAUCAACCCUGCUAAGUCAACACCUUCAGAUGAUAAUGCUAGUUACUCAAACCCAUAUUUACACUCUGUCAUCAAGACUUCGCAGCUGAAAGUACCUUUAGAGUAUGAAGCUCCGCCACCUUACUCUCUAUUACCUCCUCCUGAAGUCGUAUCUAUCAAGUUGAACCACGAAACAGCUUUAGAGGAGAAGCCUGACUUAAUUGAUACUAAAAGUUCUCAGAGGAAACCAAUUCACAUGAAGAAUUUUUGGAUAAUAAGCACUCUCAUUUACCAGAUGUGGCUGCUUCAGGACAGAACUGCAAAAAAUCGAUCAGUGCUUCAACGUUUUCAUCACAAAAUGUUACUCUGGAUUUAAUAAUAGUAGUAGUGUUAUUAAUUCUGCCCUUAAUGCAGAAUCCCCACAUACAUCAUCCAAUGCUCCUAUUGGAUUCAAUACUUUGCACAAUGUUAGCGAUAGUGAAUUAGAGCAGUACCUGCAUGAACUAGAUGAACUGGAAGAUGACACAACUGAUGACUGCUCGCUAAUUCUUCACGACUCUGUGACAAAUAAUCUCGAAGCACUAGGAGCCAAUGUAGAAAAAUUUGAGAGGAGUGAAACAGUUCCUGUAAAUACCAGUACAGAGGAAGAUUUUUCUAAUGAGGCUGAGAGUUCAGUAGUUUGCACAAGCGAUUCCCAAAACCUCAACAUUCACUACAAUAUUCAGUGUGACUCCAACAAUGAUGUAUUCCUAUCCUCAUCUGAUGCAAGCUUCGUUGAUUCAGCAACAUCUAGUGUCAGAGAAGUAAAUGAAAGUGCGGGAAAUCUGGUGAAAGUAGUUUUAACAGGACGGUUUCUGAAGUGGUUGACUUUAAGUCUGAAGAGACAGGAGAUAAUGUAAUAUUGAGUUCUAGCGACGAUCGAAAAACACUAUUUCAGCCAAGUGUAGAAAGUACUAUUAUCACUAAUGAUCCAACGAAUGGGACCAUCGGUGACGUUAGAGAAUCAUCAGAAAUAUAUGAUAAAAAAUGCACCAAAAUGGAAGAAGUCAGCACAAGUUCAAUCCACCACAAAAUACAAUGCAAAUAGUGACUUGUCAUCAGAUUCUCAAAUUUGUAACACUGAUGGAAUUGACUCAGGACCACAAGUAGGAAACAAUUUUGAAGAGAAAGAUACAUCAAGAGAGAGCUUCAACAGUGUGGAGGCUCAAGAGAUAAAUGAAAAUCUAGCUAAUGAGGCCGCAGAAGAUGAAACCGCCAGUGAAGCCUCAACUUUGUCUGCUUCUUCUUUUUCAGGAGAGUGUGUUUUCGAAGAAUUUGUAAAACCUGUACAUCAGUCGGAGAUCGAAGAUCAAAUAAUCUUCUCUCAAUAUGCUUGGAUACCGAAAAGAAUCAAAACACUUUAUCUGAUAUUGAAUCUAAUGUUGUUUCGAAUGAAACUUCAACGUACAGUGAAGUAACUAAUACCAUAGAUGAAAAUGUAUAUACUAAUGAGAAUUGUACAUUAGAACUGUCGAGUGAAUCAAGGCCUGUGCGUCCAACCUCAUUACCAUUAUCAUCUCAAAUAACAGUUUCUUCAGAUAUUAUCGAAUCAGGGACAGAAUCUAACCUGGAAGCUUCAAGCAUAACUUCUGGUGAAUGGAAACUGGGAAAGUCCUCACCGUAUUGGGUUCCUGAUAGUGAAACUCUGAACUGCAUGCGUUGUGAAACAAAAUUCACUCUAAUCCGAAGGCGUCACCAUUGUCGAGCUUGUGGGUUGUUACUUUGCUCCAAGUGUUGUAGUAUGAAAACGAAAUUAGAGUAUAUGGAAUAUGCAGAAGCAAGAGUUUGUCAGCAGUGUUACUCAGUGCUGGAGAAGGGUUUUAGUCCAGAACCCGAGCAAUCUCCCUCAUCAACAAAUCGUCCCAAUCCAAAUAACCCAAUGGAGUAUUGCUCCACAAUCCCACCAUUACAACAAGCAGCUAGUGCAUUGCAUCAGCCGCCUCCAACUGUUCUAGUCCCUGUCGGAGUUCUAAAACGUGAAGGUCGCACUAGGUCUGAAACUCCAAAACAAGUCAUUUUUAGUGAUGGAAUUAGACCUGGAGGUGAUUUAACAGAGCUUGACGAUGCUCCAGAGCCCCGGUUAUCUAUUAAGCGUCAAAAUCGACAAGUUAAAAUGAAAGUAGACCAACAUGGAGAUGAAAUGAGCUGCAGUAGUCGAACCGUUGAAGGAGUAUCAGAAUGAAUCAUCGCAAAGGCUCCAAACACAAAUUGAUUAAAGGAGGAUUGUGUCGGCAUAAUUCCUCAUAUGUUGAAAUCGGUAGUCUACCUGAAAAUAUAUUACCUCGGAUCAUCACCCGAGAACAUGGUGAAACUCAACUUACUGAUUUAGAGAAACCUAUCACACUGGAAGACCCACCAAUUAAGUUUGCUAUCAAUCCAAACCUACUUUUAGUUGUUAAACGUCUAUUCCUAGACUGUUGUGUCAACAAAGAAGUUUGGUGUUUUACAACGGAAGGACUCGCCUGUGUUUGUCAGGAUGAAAUUGUUUUUGUAAUUGAGUGCCUCCCUGACGAAGAAAAACCGCCCAAAGAUUUAUUUUUAUUUGUCAAUUCCAUAUAUAACAAGCGCCUAAAGGCAUUACUUAUAGUGAGC
rnacentral:lncRNA from 1 species